CGUAUCUCUGUGAAAUCCAGCAGAGAAGAAGGAAGAAAUCUCUACUUGUCUCUCCUUCCCACCCAAAUUUAGAUUUAUAGGAAAAACAUAUUGAUUUGCAUGACUGGUCUCUAGAUGUGUCAACUUUCAUGUAUUUUCAGUAUAAAUAUUCAUUUGUUUGUUUCCUUUCCUUCCAGAAAUAGUGUCUGUUUUCCUGUUUCUCCUGCGUGAUUUUGGCAUAAAGAGAACUCCAGAGGAGAUCUGUUAUCAAACAAGUAGCUGUGUACAAAGACUAGUCUGUGACAUCAGUCUUUUGGAAAGAGAGUCCUUAUGUGUGUGGCUGACAGCGAAGGUGACAGGACUUAUGACUCAAAUUUGUCUCUCCAACCAGGGAUCUGGGAAAGUUUAUGGGACCAGUAGGAAAAGGAGGUAUACAUAACCACUGGUGAGGUUCGUGUCUCAAAUCCACGAAGUACGAGGAGCAUGGACAAGGAAGAGUGUGUAAAGCAGGAGUGGUUUAUUGAAAGAAAGCAGAGAAUGCAAAAGUGAAAGAGAAGCUCCCAGUGGCACCAAGAGGGGUCCUAGAAGCUCAAGGUCUCUUGGAGCUACCAGCUCUGCCAAUUGAGCACUCAGGCUAUGAGAGGAAUGAAAGCUCUUGAUAGUGUUAUCUAAGGCAACUAUGGCACAUCCAGUGUGGCAGGUUCUUUG